rnacentral:rRNA from 1 species
ACGGAAGGCAGCAGUGGGGAAUAUUGGGCAAUGGAGGCAACUCUGAACCAGCCAUCUCGCGUGAAGGAAUACGGCCCUACGGGUCUUAAACUUCUUUUAUAGGGGGAUAAAGUGAGGCAUGCAUGCCUUUUUGUAGGUACCCUAUGAAUAAGCAUCGGCUAACUCCGUGCCAGCAGCCGCGGUAAUACGGAGGAUGCGAGCGUUAUCCGGAUUUAUUGGGUUUAAAGGGUGCGCAGGCGGCACGUUAAGUCAGCGGUGAAAUGCAGGGGCUCAACCCCGGCACUGCCGUUGAAACUGGCGAGCUCGAGUACGGAUGAAGUCGGCGGAAUUCGCCGUGUAGCGGUGAAAUGCAUAGAUAUGGCGAAGAACUCCGAUUGCGUAGGCAGCUGACCAGGCCGUAAAUGACGCUCAUGCACGAAAGUGCGGGGAUCGAACAGGAUUAGAUACCCUGGUA